ACUCCUACGGGAGGCAGCAGUGGGAAUAUUGCACAAUGGGCGCAAGCCUGAUGCAGCCAUGCCGCGUGUAUGAAGAAGGCCUUCGGGUUGUAAAGCACUUUCAGUCGUGAGGAAGGUAGUGUAGUUAAUAGCUGCAUUAUUUGACGUUAGCGACAGAAGAAGCACCGGCUAACUCCGUGCCAGCAGCCGCGGUAAUACGGAGGGUGCAAGCGUUAAUCGGAAUUACUGGGCGUAAAGCGUGCGCAGGCGGUCUGUUAAGCGAGAUGUGAAAGCCCCGGGCUCAAGCCUGGGAACUGGCAUUUCGAACUGGCAGUACUAGAGUCUUGUAGAGGGGGGUAGAAUUCCAGGUGGU
rnacentral:rRNA from 1 species